rnacentral:lncRNA from 1 species
UUGGAUUUAGUGACUUAAUAUAAGCAAUCCAUCUCAACAUUGCAAUAUCUGGCGUUGAACAGUUAGUAAUCAUUCCAAGCAAUGGCAAGCAAUCUAUUUCAAUUACUACUACUGCCCCAAUCAAAUAGUCAUUUUUAGCUUUCAUAGCCGAAACAACUCCCCAAAGUUCUCUUUUGACUUACGAAUAUGCACGCUGACGAAUACUUAAAACUUUAGCUCCGAAUCGAACUGCAAAUCUAUUCUCACUUGAAUCAUCUUGAUCCAUAGCCCAUCUAAUGGCAAUUGGACUAGUGUCCACAGUAAGAAUCACUGGUCUAUUGUACUUAUAAUCAACCUUCCUCAAUAUUGGAGGUGACAUCAAUAAUUUCUUCAAUCUUUACAUUGCCUGAAUAUGCCUUUCUUCCCAUUUAAAUCGGUAGCCCUUGCGUAACAAUUCAUAUAAUGGAUCCGCUAUGUGAGCAUAAUGAGGGAUCCAGAUUCGAUAAAAUACACAUGGACCUAAAAACCUACGAACCUCUGUUAAAGAAUCACAAUCCUCUUUCAUCCUUCCAAUUGCAUCAACUUUAAUCGGAUCCGGUUUUCUUCUGUAAGAUCCACAUAAAUGUCCAACAAUCACAACCUCUUGUACUCCAAAUACGGACUUCAUACCCGAUAAUGUAAGAUGAACUUCUCCAAGCUGAGUUAAAAUCUUUUCACAAUCUUGUAUAUGAUCAACAACAUAUUUGCGACACCCCCUCUUAUCUAAAGUUUCAUCCUUGUCUCCUUCUCUACACCCUUUUAUAAGAACAUCAUCCAAAAAAGGCAUAGUCUUCUCCAGAAUAAAAUCUCUCAAUACCUUAUUCAUCCCAUUCAUCAUAUGCGCAACUGAGUUGGUCGCGCCUUGAGGAAGAGUACACAUUCUAACCAAUCCAAGUGGUGUCCUCAUCGUCGUCAUAUCUCUACUUCCUUCGGUAAGUUGAAAUUGAUCAUAACUUGAAUACAAGUCACCCAUUGAAUAGAUCACCCUUCCUGUAAAUGCCUCAACAAAUUCAUCUACGAUAGGCCCAAUUCCUACAUUUUUGAUAGUUACUGCAUUCACCGGUUGCAUAUCUUGAAUUGACCGUAGUGACCCAUUCUUUUUAGGUACAGUUUUCAUGUUGUGGUUCGGCUACUAUAUGAAAAUAAUGUAAAUAUGUAUUUAAUAUAUAAUUUAUUAAGUAACAUGGUGAAAGCCAUGUUAGUAGAUUUUAAUUGGUUGUAAAAUAUAAUUUGAUUAUUACUUUAAAAAGAGGUUGUUUAAAAAGAUUACUAUAGAAUUUUUAUAACUUUAAUUUCUUUUUGAUAGUGGUUUUUAAGAUUGGUUUUGGUUGAUAGUAACUUCUAAAUAUUUAGAGUCACCUUUGUUAGACAUUGGUGACAUUUAAAAAUUUAUUUUGGUUCUAUUAUUUGGUGUUUAGAGCAUCCAUUAUGUAAAUCUUAUAAGAAAAAGGAUUGAAGAAGAAUUUUGGUAGCAAAGGGAGGAAUUAGGGCACCAAUAUAGAUGAAUGGAGAUGAAAAAUAAAAAUCUCCAUUCCUAUUAAUCAAAAAUCAUGACCGAUGGGCUUUGAGGAGGCUGCCCGAGGCCAUAUUAGGGAUUAGGGUUAGUUUCUCGAGGCCAUUCGAGUUUUUGAGGCUAGGGUCAGAAGGUUUAGGUUUUUGGAUAUGGUUUUGGUGCAAAAUUUGUGUCAUUUGGGGUUUAUAUGAAGAAGUUAUAGGCGCUCAAAGUUAAGGUGUAAGUUUUCGACGUAUUGUCACUCUUUUCAGCAUACCGCACGCGUACGGACGAGAAACGAGGAUCGGCGACCGGAUUUCAAGAGAAUACUUUUUCGGCUAUAGUUUGUGCAUACUGUUUAUCGAAUUCCAAGCUUUUAUGAAGGAGAUAUUGGUAGUUGAAGUCAGCGCUUGAUAUCUAAGGGUAGUAAGUAGCCCGAAUUAUUUGUGCUUGUGAUUUGAGCUAUAUCUUAGACAAUUUGAUGAGGUUUUAGCUCAAAAUUUUCAAGAUUGAGUGUAAUUUUGUUAUAAAGCUUUCUAUAUAAGUUUUGUGUGAUUUGGAGCUUGGAAUUAAGAGAUAUAAGGAAAAUAGUUUUCGGGUGCUUGUAAGUUAGGGUUUUGUGCACCUGCUAGAGUUUCUUAGAUGCCGAACGAUCGGUGAUAGAUGUACGGUUCAAUUUGUUUGUGGUAAAAUUUUAGUAUAGCAUCUAGCUUAUGUAGAAAUUUGAAACAAAGUGAACGGUUGGAUUAGCUUUUAUGAAUUUUCAAAGUCUGAUGUAAAAAGGUCCUUGGCGGGAAGAAAUAUUUUUUGAAGAAUUUUAAGAUAUUUUGAAUUUUUAUACAAAGCAAGGAGUUUGUUUUUGGGAGCUAAGGCAUUAUAUAAAAAAGAAACCUAAACUCUCUACAGCUAGAUACCCGGUGUAUUCUCAGAUAGAAAAUCACGCCAUACGACAGACUUGGUAAACCCGAUGUGAAAAUUUCUGGGGUAGAGAGUUUUGAAGAAAUAUUUUGGCUUUUAUUAUGGAAGGGGGGCAAGGAAGUAGUAGUAGGAAAUGCAUUGGAGCAUCUCCAUUGCAACUGGAUCCUGCUACAACUCAAAUGUUUCAAGCAUUUGCACUUUUUAUGCAACAGCAGCAAGCACUGGAACGCAAGGAGGCAAUGGCUACGAAAGCCUUGCAAUCUGUUGUUGGAAUUUUGGACCAAUUUGAUGGAAGAAAUAUUUCCAAGUAUCUUAAGUAUUACUCUCGGGAGAUGGAGUUCAAUAAGGUGCCAAAAAAAGAUAUGAUCCUUACAUUUGAGCUUGCAGUUGUACCAGAGCUUCGUGACCAUAUAAAGGGUAUUAUUAAAACUCAUGGAGACAGAUGGGAAGAUUUUAUCCUACAGCUAAAAGAAGAGUAUUCUUUGGAGGAUGCAGAAAGGGUGACAAGGAAAUCAUUUAUGGAAUGGGUUAAUAAAUCCAACAAAGGGUUGGUUGCAACAGAGUUACUUUGAGAAUUUGAGAGACAGUUUCUUCAAUUAUCUCGAGUAGAAAAGCUCACACUUGAAAAUGAUAAGGUGGAGUUAUUUCUUCAAUCAGCUGGGAAUGAUUUACAGAGAGAAUUGGAAUUAUUAUUGGAGGAUAAUAUAGAGGACAAUGGACUUACUACUGACUGGAAGAAAGUCUCUGAAGCUGUGGACAUACUUGCUAAAAGAGAGUACCGGAGGGGUAAGGUGGUAGUAAGGCAAGAAACUAGACCCCUACGAACUACAAUACCUUGUAGGCAAUUGACAGAACCUGCUAUACCAGUAAGUACUAUUCCAAUUCGUAUGUCUACAGUUGCACCACAGAAAGAUGCAAUUGAUGAGUUGGUAAAAGAAAUGAAAGACUUACAAAUCAAACUGGCAAAGCUAAAGGAGAAAGAAGGAUUAUCUGAGAACAAAUCUAUAUCAAAGCCAGGAUAUAUACAAUGAUGUAUUUGGUGUGAUAGUAUGGAGCAUCCUCGAAAGGAGUGUGGAGAUUUUGCCAAUAUUUUGCAACAAGGAGUAAUUUUGUGGAAGGAUGGAAAAAUUGCGUUGCGAGAUAUAGGUGAGUUUCUCAAAACCAAUUUUGAAAAGGGUGGGAUGAAGAAGGUUUUGGAAGAGCAUAUAUCUCAACAGGCUAUGGCAUCAAAAGAAGCUACUACUUAUGGCAUCAAGGUUGUAAAGGAGAAAGAGGGUAUUUUUGACAAGCAUGUAAACACAAGGGGUUUAUGAAAUCAUGCUAUUAUCAGCAUGAAUAAAAGAAAAACAACAAGGCAGGAAUUACUUAAUACAGCGAUAAUAAUUAGAAAUGCUAUAGGAUGGGAUGAUCUUGUAGAUACUAUGUCUGUACAUGCUUAUUUGGCAAAGUCUCAACAUGAAGCCCUAAUGGAGGUGAAAAGGAGAAGAAAUGAAAUAGAAGAAAAUCCUGAAGAGCCAACAAACAAGAGGAGAUCUCAAAGGCAUGUAAAAACAGUACAAAAUAAAGAAUUACCUAUACCACAUGUUAAUAGACCAUCUAAGGCUGGGCCAUCAAUAUUGCAUCCUGGAAAUGCUUCAUUGCCAAAAGAAAAAUGGGAAGAAAGGAUAGAAGUUAAUAGAGACAAAGGAAAGAGUAAGCAUGUUACUUAUAAACUUCAAUCUGAUAUUGAGGCAGCCACAGAUUUGAAAGGAGUCUUGGAAGAAAGAGUAUUGAAUGCCAAAAUUGAAUUUACUCUACGAGAAGUUUUAGGCAUUGCAAAGAAAGAGUUUCAUGAAGUCAUCAUAGACACUAUUAAGCGAAAGAGGCAGUUGAUAGGAGAAUCUGCUGUAUCUAAUGCUUUGGAUAUAAUCUUGAUUGAAGAAGAGGAGCAUGAAUUGGCAGAAUGUUAUAUCAAUAAAAAGGAACAAUUUGAUUUGGAUGAAUACAAAGAUGAUGACAAGGGCCCUGGACACUAUACCAAGGAACAUUGGGCAAGAGCCACCACAGAGACUUUAGUAAAAAUGGAAGACUUGGAAGAACUAGUAAUUGCUCUCAUUGACCAUGGAUCUGAAAUUAAUAUUAUGUCAAAAGAGGUCUAUAAACAUGGAAGGUGGCCCAUUGAUAUUAACUAUGGAUUGGUGAUUUGGGCAGCAAAUAAUAUACGAGGAGAUCUUUAUGGUGCUUGCCCUAAUGUGAAGGUAAAGGUUGGAGAUGUGACCACAGAACAAAUUUUUUUUGUUCAAGACACUACUUCAUACCUGGUGAUUUUUGGUCAACCAUAUAUUACAGCUGUGAGGAUGGAGACCAAAGUUUUUGAUGAUGGAUCAGCAUGUGCCCGUAUUAGAAGUCAAGAUGAAAAAAAGGCAGUGCAAUUUCUAACAGUACCUGCAAACCAUGAGUGCAAUCGGAAUUAUUUACGAAGUGAAUUUCUACCAAGGGUUACUGAAGAGUUUACGGAUUUUUGCAGGAUACCACUAUAGAGCGAGAAUGUAGUGGUACAUCAAAGAAGGUACUCUCGCAUGAAAAAGAAAGUACCUUUUGUACAGGUGUUAUAAAAUUAUCUAAGAAUGGAUUUGCUAUCUAUACACAACUUAAUGAUCUACCAAAGUGGGAGAAAAAAGUUGUGCAAAAAUUUGAAAAAGACCUAAAAAGAGUGGGUGUGCUUGAUGGAGAUGAUAAGAUAAUAGGUGUAUAUAUAGAGACUGGUUUAGAAAAUUUUAUGGAAGAACUUUUAGAGGUUGAACAAGGAAAUGAAGAUCAAGUGAUGCAAGUACAUUCAAGAGAGCUCUACUCAGCUAUACAAGCAUUUCAAGAUUAUGAAGUCGAAGUUGAAACUAAGUACAAGACUGUGGAGAGAAAAAUAAAACCAGUAGCUAUACCAUUACCUAGUGUUUUCAAUCAUCAAGUUCAACAAGCUUUGAAGGAGAAGGUCUUAUGGGAUCCUAAACAAAUUGGCCAUAAGUUUACUAAGAAUACACUUAAUGAGUUAAAAAUAGGAUCUGCAAAUUUCCUAUUGCCUGUUGAAGAAAUGGAAUUUAGAAAAAUGUUAAGUAUGCAUAGAAAGGCCUUUGCUUUUGAACCUUCAGAAAUUGGAUGUGUUGAUCCAAGUGUUGUGGCACCAAUGAUUAUAUUUACAGUUCCACAUGUUCUUUAGGAUUUAAGACCAAUUUCAGUGCCUAAAGCACAUCUACCUAAACUUAUGAAGCUUUUAAAAGAAAAGAUGUAAAUGAAGAUCCUCGAGCCAUCAUUUGCACCAUAUUCCAGCCGUUGGUUUACAGUACCAAAGAAAAAUGGAACAGUACGGUUUAUUCAAGAUAUGCAACCAGUAAAUCAAGUAACUAUUAGAAAUACUGGAGUUGGACCAAUUGUUGGAGAAUUUGCUGAGGCAUUUGCUGGUAGAGCUAUUUACUCUAUUGGAGAUCUUUAUUCUGGAUAUGAUCAAUUUCAACUAGCUGAAAGAAGCAAAGAUGUUACUACUAUGAAGACACCUUUAGGGUUGGUUAAGAUGUGUACAUUGCCACAAGGAGCAACAAACUCAGUAGCUCAUAUGAUGAAUGGAAUGAAUAAGGUUCUUCAUGAUUUCAUUCCAGAAAAGACUAUGCCCUUCUUAGAUGAUAUUUCAAUAAAAGGGUGUGUGGAAGAAGAAAAAGAUGAAACAAUGGAUCAGAAGGGGUGCCGUAAAUUUGUAUCUAAUCAUAUUUUAGACUGUGACAAAAUUUUAUCUCGACUUGAGGAGGUUCACUUGACACUGUUAGGAACUAAAUCUACUUUUGGAGUUCGAGAAGUUGUUAUUGUAGGGCAUUUAUGUGGAUGGUUUGGUCGCAAACCUGAUCCUAAUAAGGUGGAUGCCAUACAACGAAUGAAGGAUAUUUGUAGCUCACAAACAGAGGUACGGAGGAUUUUAGGAUCUUGCAUAUUUUAUUAUGUAUGGAUUCCUCAUUAUGCACAUGUAGCUAAUCCUCUUUAUAGUUUGCUAUGAAAAGAGAAGAGAUUUAAAUGGGAGAAAAAACAUACAGAAACAAUUCAAAAGCUAAAGCAAUUAUUAUCUUCUCCACCUGUAUUGCGAAGGAUAAGUUAUGAGGAUGGCAAAUCAGUGAUACUUACAGUUGAUACUAGUCUAAUAGCUGUUGGUUGGGCAUUAGGACAAAAUGAUGAAGAAGGGAACAGGUUUGUUAUUAGAUUUGGAGCUAAAGUAUUAAGUGAACGACAAAGAAACUAUCCACAGGUGAAACGGGAGCUAUGGGGAAUAGUUACAGCUAUGAAAAGUGAAAGAGAUUAUUUAAUUGGAGCACCAGUGAUAGUGGAAACAGAUUGCUUGCCACUAUUGGGAAUGAUUACCAAUUGUAAUACCUCUGAUAUUGCUAUGCUAAGAUGGAUUGCAUAUAUUAAAUCUUUGAACCCUGAAUUUAGGCAUAUAGCAGGCAAGGAUAAUCUUGUAGCAGAUAUGUUAUCUUGAGCCAAAUAUGAACAAGAAGAAGGUUUGAUUGAAGAUAUUGAAGAUAUAGGUACUACCUUUUAUUCUAGGGCACAACAAAGAGAAGAUAAAUAUCGAAGACUAUUUACAGAAGAAUUGUAUGAAGAAGAAUGGAUUGAUAUUGGACACUAUAUAAGCACAUUAUCAAGACAAUCAGGAUGGAGUGAUAUUCAUUUCAAGCAGAUUAGACGGAAGGCUUAUAAUUACCUCUUACAAGGUGGUUACCUAUGGAAGCAAUGCAAGCGGGAUAGUGGAAUGCCACAAAGAGUAGUUUGCAAGAAAAAGAUGCAAGAACAACUAAUCCAUGAAUUUCAUGAUAGUUUGUGGGCUGGACAUAGAGAUAUUUAUGCCACCUUUAACAAGCUCAAAGAAAAAUAUUGGUGGCGUAAUAUGUAUAGAGAUGUGGUGAAGUUUAUAGAAUCAUGCCAAACUUGUCAGAUAUACUCGGAGAUUCGACAUAGAGAUGGAUUGCAUCCUAUAUAUCCACUUGCAAUACAUUAUAAAUGGAUUGUAGACCUCGUUACUAUGCCUAUGGAGAUAUGGCAAAUGCGAUACUUGGCCCUGGCACGAGAAGAUUUAUCUAACCAAGUAGAAGGAAGAGCUCUACGAACAAAAUCCACUGAAGGAGUUUGUAGAUUUUUAUUAGAAGACGUGAUUUGUAGAUAUGGAUGUAUUGGAAAAAUUACUGCUGAUCGUGGGGAAUUGGAUGCACAUGAAGCUAGACAAUUCUUUGAGAGAUGUGGGAUCAAGCUAGCACUUACUACAUCUUACAAUCCAGAAGGCAAUGCUAAGAGUGAGAGAGGUCAUCCUCCUAUUGUAAAGGCCAUUGUUAAAGCUUGUAAAGGAAGAGUAAGAGAAUGGCCAAGAUUAUUGCCAUUUACUCUUUGGGCUGAUCGAACUACUCACAGUUCAGUGACAGGAUAUAUGCCAGCAGAGUUAAUGCAAGGACAGAAGCCCAUUAUGCCCAUUGAAGAGCAAGUACCUACUUGGAGUAUCUUGCCUUGGCAAGAUAAUAUAUCUAAAGAAGAACUUCUUGUACUUCGAAUUCGUCAACUAGAAAGAAGACCUGAAGAUGUGGAAAAAGCAAUUAUAAGGCUAAAAGAGUCAUGCUUGAAGAAUAAAGAUAGAUUUGAUAAGCGACACAAGUUGAGGCCAAAAGAUAUUCAAGAAGGUGAUUGGGUUUUGGUAUAUGACAACAGCUUGGAUAAUCAACAUAGUGCUCUUAAAAAAUUUCUCUAAGCGUUGGUUUGGGCCUUAUGUGGUUGUAUAUGUUUUGGAUAAUGCUACAUAUGCAUUAAGGAAAUUAGAUGGAAUAAGACUCAAAAUUCCAAUUGCAAAAAACGUAUAAAAAAUUUCAAACAACGAAAUCAAGAAUUAAUCCUUGAAGAUGUUGAAGAAGAAUUUGAUCCAUCUAGUUAUGAGGAAGAAGAAUUGGAUUUUGAAGAAGACAUUGUUGAGGAGGUAACAUGAUGCCCACCACAAUUUUUGUUCAUCUUGGUGCAUACCGGAGGAUGCACAAGUUUAGAAGGGGUGGAUAUCGUGUUGUGGUUCGGCUACUAUAUGAAAAUAAUGUAAAUAUGUAUUUAAUAUAUAAUUUAUUAAGUAACAUGGUGAAAGCCAUGUUAGUAGAUUUUAAUUGGUUGUAGAAUAUAAUUUGAUUAUUACUUUGAAAAGAGGUUGUUUAAAAAGAUUACUAUAGAAUUUUUAUAACUUUAAUUUCUUUUUGAUAGUGGUUUUUAAGAUUGGUUUUGGUUGAUAGUAACUUCUAAAUAUUUAGAGUCACCUUUGUUAGACAUUGGUGACAUUUAAAAAUUUAUUUUGGUUCUAUUAUUUGGUGUUUAGAGCAUCCAUUAUGUAAAUCUUAUAAGAAAAAGGAUUGAAGAAGAAUUUUGGUAGCAAAGGGAGGAAUUAGGGCACCAAUAUAGAUGAAUGGAGAUGAAAAAUAAAAAUCUCCAUUCCUAUUAAUCAAAAAUCAUGACCGAUGGGCUUUGAGGAGGCUGCCCGAGGCCAUAUUAGGGAUUAGGGUUAGUUUCUCGAGGCCAUUCGAGUUUUUGAGGCUAGGGUCAGAAGGUUUAGGUUUUUGGAUAUGGUUUUGGUGCAAAAUUUGUGUCAUUUGGGGUUUAUAUGAAGAAGUUAUAGGCGCUCAAAGUUAAGGUGUAAGUUUUCGACGUAUUGUCACUCUUUUCAGCAUACCGCACGCGUACGGACGAGAAACGAGGAUCGGCGACCGGAUUUCAAGAGAAUACUUUUUCGGCUAUAGUUUGUGCAUACUGUUUAUCGAAUUCCAAGCUUUUAUGAAGGAGAUAUUGGUAGUUGAAGUCAGCGCUUGAUAUCUAAGGGUAGUAAGUAGCCCGAAUUAUUUGUGCUUGUGAUUUGAGCUAUAUCUUAGACAAUUUGAUGAGGUUUUAGCUCAAAAUUUUCAAGAUUGAGUGUAAUUUUGUUAUAAAGCUUUCUAUAUAAGUUUUGUGUGAUUUGGAGCUUGGAAUUAAGAGAUAUAAGGAAAAUAGUUUUCGGGUGCUUGUAAGUUAGGGUUUUGUGCACCUGCUAGAGUUUCUUAGAUGCCGAACGAUCGGUGAUAGAUGUACGGUUCAAUUUGUUUGUGGUAAAAUUUUAGUAUAGCAUCUAGCUUAUGUAGAAAUUUGAAACAAAGUGAACGGUUGGAUUAGCUUUUAUGAAUUUUCAAAGUCUGAUGUAAAAAGGUCCUUGGCGGGAAGAAAUAUUUUUUGAAGAAUUUUAAGAUAUUUUGAAUUUUUAUACAAAGCAAGGAGUUUGUUAUUGGGAGCUAAGGCAUUAUAUAAAAAAAAAACCUAAACUCUCUACAGCUAGAUACCCGGUGUACUCCCAGAUAGAAAAUCACGCCAUACGACACCGUAAACCAUCGACUAGAAUACGGCACAUAUGACGGUUCCAAUACUUUCAUCUUCAUCUUUUCUUUUAAUAAUUCCACUAAUUUAGGUAAAUGUGCCCUUAGUACUGAAAUCGGUCUUAGAUUCCAAGGUGCAUGCAGUACAGUGAAGAUAACCACAGGUGUUAUAAUAUUUGCAUCCACAAACCCAAUUUCAUAAGAUUCGAAGGCAAAUGAUCUACCUUGUUUAGCCAACAUCUUUUUGAAGCAAGUAAUUUCCUUCGGCAAUAAAGAACCAUCAGAACCAAUCUUCAAUUCUUCAAAAGUCUCUUUAGUAAACUGAUGUCCAAUAUUCAUUAGAUCUCUUAAACUUGCUUCUUUUGAUGCUUCUCCCAUUUGUUCCUUGGAAUCUUCUGCUAAUGGUCUGGCAACAGGCUUUACCUCCUUAUGUGCCAUUUUAUAUCUUGUCUCUACAGUGACUUUUGGUGCUUGAAGAGCUUCAAGUAUGGUAUAAAUUUCUCUUGAAUGAAUCUCAACAAUCUUAUCAUUAUCCCCUAACCCAAUAGAUGUAAUCAAUUCCAAUGAAUCUUCCAAUCCAUUUUCUUCAUAAACACCUAAAAUCCUCUCAUCAUCUUACAAUGUACCUAACUUGUAUAAUCCUCCUUCAAUAUUAUAUAAUCUUUUUUUUUCUUUUCUUUUAAAAUCAUCAACUUUCUUAUACAUAAUAUUUCCAUUCUCCAAAAUACCAAUAAAACUCGCAUCAAAGGCACCUUCAUCUCGCGAGAGUACCUCCUCUUUUGUACCUCCAUAAUCUCGCUUUAUAGUGGUACCUCUCCAAAAUCCUUAAAUCCUUCAACAAUCUUUGGCAAUGGUUUUUCCCUCAACCUAUCUCGAUUCCGUUCAUGGUUAGGAGGUACUGUUAGAAAUUGUACAGCUUUCCUCCCAUCUUCGCUACGUACCCUUGCAUAAGCAGAACCAUCGUCAAGUACUUUUGUUUCCAUCCGUGUUGCCGUGAUAUAAGGUUGUCCUAAAAUCAACGGAUAAGACGUUGUAUCUUGAACAAAGAAAUGUUUGCUCCGUCGCAACAUCCCCCAAUCCAAAUUUUGACAUCUGNNNNNNNNNNNNNNNNNNNNNNNNNNNNNNNNNNNNNNNNNNNNNNNNNNNNNNNNNNNNNNNNNNNNNNNNNNNNNNNNNNNNNNNNNNNNNNNNNNNNUUUGUACCUCCAUAAUCUCGCUUUAUAGUGGUACCUCUCCAAAAUCCUUAAAUCCUUCAACAAUCUUGCGCAAUGUUUUUCCCUCAACCUAUCUCGAUUCCGUUCAUGGUUAGGAGGUACUGUUAGAAAUUGUACAGCUUUCCUCCCAUCUUCGCUACGUACCCUUGCAUAAGCAGAACCAUCGUCAAGUACUUUUGUUUCCAUCCGUGUUGCCGUGAUAUAAGGUUGUCCUAAAAUCAACGGAUAAGACGUUGUAUCUUGAACAAAGAAAUGUUGCUCCGUCGCAACAUCCCCAAUCCAAAUUUUGACAUCUGGACAAGCUCCAUAUAACUCACCCUAUCUAUUAUUAGCAGCUCGUAUUGUCCAUCCAUGUUCCAUAUCAAUUGGCCAUUUUUGCUUCUUAUAAAGAUCUUUAGACAUGAGAUUUAUUUCAGAACCAUGGUCGACUAAAGCAACAAUUGGUUCUUCUAUAUCUCUUACUUUCACCAAUACCUCAGUAGUUGCCCUUGCCCAAUGCUUUCGAGUAUAAUGACUCAAAGUUUCCAUUUUCUUGUCACUAGAAUCUUCGAAACGUAUUCGCUCAUUAUACCCAUUCUUUUCAUUUGUUGGUUGCUUGUAACCAAUAUCAACCUUUUCUUCAUCUCUACAUAUUCUUGCAUCAAUAGCAUGACUCAUUCCAGUUUCGCUCAUUAAUUGCCUCUUUCGCUUAAUGCUAUCAAUGAUAACAUCAUGAAACUCCUUCUUUGCAAUUCUCAAGACUUCUUUCAAUGUGAAUUCCACCUUAGCGUUUAAUAUACGUUCUUCCAACACCCCUUUCAAAUUUGUUGCCGCUUCAAUAUCAGAAAGUAGCUUAUAAGCAAUUGAUUUGCCCUUAUCUUUUGUCUCCGUUGUUUUUUCUCCCAAUGAUGCUGAGGUAUCCUUUACAGGCAAUUCUUGUGAAGCUGCCUCCCGAGCCUUGUCUCCUCGAGUUUGCCUCUUAAAAAAAUUUCCUUCUCUAGUAUCAUCAAAAUUUCCUCGUCUUUUUUCUUCCAUCAAAGCUUCAUGUUGGCUCUUAGCAAUAUAUGCAUGAACUGAAAGAGACUCAACAGGAUCCUCCCAACCUGUUCUUCCUCGUAUUGUAGCUGCAGUUCUCAAUAACGCUUCUCGAGGUAAUUUCCCUUCUUGCAUUGUAGAAACGGCAGAAGCCCAAAACUCACUAGUUUCCGUACUUCCACCAAUUUCAUCAUCUACUCUAGCACCAUAACUUGCACUUUUUCGUGCUACUGUUUCAUACUCCUUUAAGUAAUCUUGAACCAAUGCUCUCAUUCCUCCCUUGUCAAAAUUGGUUUGAAGAAGAUCCUCCCUAUCUUUCAAUGCUAUCUUCCCAUCUUUCCAGCAAAUAAUUCCCUGUUGUAUCAUAUUAUUAAAUUCAUUGCAAUCUUUUCUAGUGUGUGAAGCAUCAUCACACCAAAUGCAUCUUUGUACGAAUCUUUGUUUUGAAACAUUCUUCGAAUUAUUUAUAGAAGUAUUUUCUUCAAGUCUUGCUAAUUUGAUUUGAAGAUCUCGCAUUCCUCGUAUAAUUUCUUCUAUCCCCAUAUCUGCUUUCUUUGACAAGGAUGUCGAAGGUUGAACUGUAGGCAUUGUCGGUGGUGUAGUACGUACUGGAGCUUUGGGUGCUUGUACUGUUUUCAAAAUAUUGCUCCUAUCCUUCCUCCUUUCUUUUUUUGUAAGCAACCCCACCGCAUCUUCAACGUUCUUCCACUUCGUUGUCAAUCCUUCAUCUUCUUCUUUGUCUUCAGGAAGGGGUUCUAAUUUCCCUUGCAAUUCUCCAUCAGCAGCUUGAAGAAAUAGAUCAACUUUGUUCGGCUCCAAUGUCAAUUUUUCUACCUUCGAUAAUUGAGAGUACUGCCUCUCAAAUUCUCUUAGUAGCUCUGUUGCUUGCAAAUUCUUAUUGGGCCGUUCAAUCCAUCCUAGAAACAGCUUCUUAGUAACGCAAUCAGCAUCUUCCAAGAAAUAUUCGUCUUUCAAUGCAUGUGAAAAAUCCUCCCAUGAAUUCCCACAACGAUCCGUAAUCGAUGUAAUGUGGUCCUUUAUCUCCGGUAUCGUGGCAAGUUCAAAUAGUGCAACCAUUUUCUUCUCAGAAACCCGAUUUAAUUCCAUUUCACAAACAUAACAUCUUAAAUACCUUGAAAUUUCCUCCCAUCAAAUUGAUCAAUUUUAUUGACCACUGCUUGCAAUGCUUUGGUUGCCAAAGCUUCCUUUUAAUCAUUGCUUUGCUGUUGCUGCAUUGACAAUGAGAAGGCUUGAAACAAAUUAGCAAUAGACAGAUCUAUGUACAUACCUUGUCCUUUAGAAGACUCCCCACCAGAAACUUCUCCAAAAAUCCUUCAAAAUUUUUAUUUUCGUUUUCCAUAAAAAUAAAGAUAAAAUCAACCGAAAUCCAAUACCUUCUAUCUCAAGCUUUCACAUCGGGUUCACCACUUAUGUCGUAUUACGUACUUUCCUGCUCGAGAACGCAUCGGGCGUCUGGCUGUAGAAGGUAGUAUGGAGAUUUGCCGAUAGUCAAGCAGUCUAUCAGUUUUUGACUGCUGGAAUAUAAACGACUGCAACAAUGUACCAUAAAUCUAUAUGGAUGCUCUUCGACUGCUUGUCGAAGUCUUUUUUUUUUUUUUUUUUUUUUUUUUUUCCAGCCGAUAGGUCUCUAGACGUUACAGAGAACCCCAAACAACCCAAACUGUUAAUCUUCAAUACCGCUUUGUACUUACGAUCUUGUAUCCACUGACUAUCCUGUUAGAUUAACCCAAUAAAUUUCAUUCACUCCGCAUACUCAAUCCUAUAGACACCCCUUUAAUCCUUCAAUCACAGACGUAACUCGAUUUUACAAAACAGUCAAGAGUAUUCAAACCCACUUCAUUUAAAAAUCCCGAUUCACCAUUACAACACUGACUUCAACAGCGAUUGCCUCAGUCUUCCCAAAACUCUACGAAGAAGAAAAAUCCAAAUUCUAUGUCUUUCCUUCCACGACCCGAACCAUGAAGCUCCUCUCUCUAAUUCCCUUGAUCUUCCAAAAACCUCCAAUGAAAAACCGAACUGGUAACCUUCCAAAAGCUUGAAAACUCGCUCCCUCCCCCCGAUUCCUCCAAAAAAAAAACCUCCCCCCUCAAAACUAUAUCCCCCCCUAACCUUAUCCUCUGAAUUUCUUCAAUCUUCCGUCUUAGAUCCGGAAUUGGCUCCCACCUCAAGCUUGGAUCCGAAAUUGGCUCUCGCCGUCAAGCUUUCUCCUCCGUUUUUACCUUUAAGAAAUCCAUUUACCAAAAAUAACGUUCCCAGAAACAGCACAGAGAACAGGACAGCCUGAAACAGAAUCGAACCCCAUAAUCGGGACCACAUUGAGUCGCCCGACCAAUUCAGGUCCUAUAUUGGGAAAGAUGCCCGUAGUAACCUGGAUGUUCCCGUAAUUGGGUCAAAUUGGUCCUCGCGUCAGAUUGGCUAAGACCCGUACUAAGACCUGGAUUUCUCGUAAUUAGACUGCAUUGGGUUGACCGGCCAAUUCAGGUCUCAUAUUGGAUAAGAGGACCCGGAUUGGAUUAUCAAAAUUGGAUCCAAUUGGCUCCUCGAACCCAUUGUGUGAAUUGGUCCUUCUCUUCCUGCUGACUCCCGUUAUUGGAAUCGAAUGGAGCAUUUCAGUAUGCCCCGGCUGAUUGUAACGGAGUGACUGAACGUGACCACUCAGUAUUUGUACUGGAGUUGGUUGAUGCUCCCAAUAUUCGAAGUAACUGAAUAUUAAUAAAAUUCCCUUUUCUUUUUAUUUUCACUGUAUACUCGUGUUACAACACGACACCGGAAAAAUAACUUUUUAAAAGGCCAAAAAUGGAGGAGAAAGCUUUGACGACGGAGCCAAUUUCAGAUCCAAGUCGGAAGAUUGAAGAAAUUCAGAGGCUAGGAUUUGAAAGAGGAGAGAAUUAAGGUUAAAGGAGAGGAUAGGUUAAGAAAUGAAGGAGAGAGAAUAAGGGUUUUAAGGGUCGGAGAGCUAGCUUCAUGCUUCAGGAGGGAAAAAAAGAUACAGAAUUGGAAUUUUUUUUCAUAGGAUUUUGAAAAGACUGAGGCAAUCGUUACUGAAGUCAGUGUUGUAUUGGUGAAUCGGGAUUUUAAUGAAGUGGAUGUGAUUACUCUUGACUGUUUUGUGAAAUCAAAGUUAUGUCUGUGAUUGAAGAAUUAAAAGGGUGUCUAUAAGAUUGAGUAUGCAGAGUAAAUGAAAUUUAUUGGGUUAAUCUAAUAAGACAGUCAGUGGAUACAAGGUCGUGAGUAUAAAGCGGUAUCAGAGAUUAGCAGAUCGAGUUGUUCGAGGUUCUUUGUAAUGUCUAGAGACCUACGGGCUGGGACAAAAAGGAUUUUGGUAAGCAGUCGAAAGACAUCUGUAUAGAUUUACGGUAUAUUCAUGCAAUUACUUAUAUUCCAACAGUAAAAAACCAAUAGACUGCUUGAAUAUUAGUAAAUCUCCAUACUACCUUCUAUAGCCAGAUGCCCGGCACGUUCUCGAGUAGGAAAGCACGUAAUACGACAACGGUCCAAACCAUUGUUUAGAAAACUUCCUUAAAGUACUAUGUUGAUUGUCUAAGCUACUAUCAUAGAUCAAAACCCUAUCACCUUCUUCAAUUACUUUAGGCCUCAAUCAAUGCUACUUAUCAAAUCAUGUCUUGUUUUGUAACCUUGGUCUUUUUAACCUUUCUAAUGCUAUGUACACAUCUUCUAAUAUUUUCUCUAAUUUUUAAAUUCUAAUAGCCAGAAGUUUUCUUCUUGUCAAUCCAUCUUCCCAUGGUAGCACACUCCAAGUAGGUACUUUUUCUUCAAUUGGCAUAAUUGGUUUUUGACCUGUCAUAAGCUCAAUAGAUAUAUAUCUCAUUACUAAGCUAUGAGUUGUUUGAUCAGUCCAUAAUGCAAAUGACAAAAGUCGUGGCCAUUCUCUAAUCUUCCCAUUACUAGCUUUAACUAAUGCUUUCACAAUCAGUGGGUAACCACAUUCACUUUUUGCAUUUCCUUCAAGAUUAUAAGCAGUAGUCAGUGAUAGUUUAAUUCCACAUCUUUCAAAGAAUUCACGAGCUUCUUGUGCAUUUAAUUCUCCACGAUCUGUAGUGAUUUUGCCUAUAGAUCCGUAGCAGCAAAUAACAUCUUCAAGCAAAAAUCUACAAAUUCCUUCUGUAUUUUUUAUUUUCAAUGCUCUUCUUUCUACUUGAUUUGAUAAAUCUUCACGAGUUAAGACCAAAUAUCUCAUUUGCCAUAACUCAAUUGGCAUAAUAACCAAAUCAACAACCCAUUUAAAAUGAAUAGCUAGACGAUAUGUAGGAUGAAGACCAUCUCGAUGUCGUAUAUUAGAAUACGAUUGACAAAUUUUACAUGAUUCUAUAAAUAAGAGCACAUCUCGAUACAUAUUUUUCCACCAAUAUUGUUCCUUAAGUUUAGCAAAAGUAGCCCAAAUUCUUCUAUCUCCUACCCAUAAACUAUCAUGAAAUCCCUUUAGUAAUUUUUGUUUCUCUUCCUUAUUGCCUAUCACUCUUUGUGGCAUUCAAAUUCCUUUCUUUGGUCUCUUCCAAAAGAAUCCUUCUUGAAGCAAAAAUCCAUAUUUUUUUUUUCUUAUUUGUUUAAAUUUUUCUGUAGACCAAUUUUAUUUCUUAGUCAAGGUAUUCAAAUAAUGAUCAAUAUCCAGUAAUUCUCCUUCAUAAUUUUCUUCAAGAAUUAGCUUGUCUUCUUUGUUAAGAUUUGAUACUGAAUAGAAUUUUGACUGAACAUCAUCAAUGUCUUCAAUCAUUUCGUCUUCUCUUUCAUAUCUUGCUCGAGAUAGCAUGUCUGCUACUAAAUUGUCCUUUCCAAUAAUGUGUUUAAAUUCCAUAUUUAAUGACUUAAUAUAAGCAAUCCAUCUUAACAUUGUAAUGUCCAAUAUUGAACAAUUAAUGAUCAUUCCUAGCAAUGGCAAGCAAUCUGUUUCAAUUACUACUAUUGUACCAAUCAAAUAAUUCCUUUCAGCUUUCAUAGCCAAAACAACUCUCCAAAGUUCUCUUUUGACUUGCAAAUAUGCACAUUGACGAGUACUUAAAACUUUAGCUCCAAAUUGAACUGCAAAUCUAUUUUCACUUGAAUCAUCUUGACUCACAGUCCAUCCAAUAGCAAUAGGACUAGUAUCCACAGUAAGAAUUACUUGUCUAUUAUAGUCAUAAUCAAUUUUUCUUAAAAUUGGAGGUGUCACCAAUAACACCUUUAGCUUUUGCAUUGCUUUAGUAUGCUUUCUUUUCCAUUUAAAUCAAUAACUCUUACAUAAUAAUUCAUACAAUGGAUCUGCUACAUGAGCAUAAUAAAGAAUCUAUAUACGAUAAAAUACACAAGCUCCUAAAAACCCGCAUACUUCUGUUAAAGAGUCACAUGAAUCCUUCAUCCUUCCAAUUGUACCAACUUUGCUUGGCUCUUGCUUCCUUCCAUAAAAUCCACACAAAUUUCCAACAAUAAGAACUUUUUGCACUCCAAAUGUAGAUUUUGCUCCUAAAAGUAUAAGAUGAAUCUCUUCAAGUCGAAUUAAAAUCUUUUUACAAUCUUGUAUAUAAUCAACAACAUAUUUGCGACACCCCCUCUCAUCUAAAGUUUCAACUUUUUUCCUUCUUUACAUCCUUUGAUAGGAACAUCAUCUAAAAAAGACAUAUUUUUUUCAAAAAUGAAGUUUCUUAAUACCUUGUUCAUCCCAUUCAUCAUAUGUACUACUGAGUUAGUAGCACCCCGAGGGAGAGUACAUAUUUUAAGUAAUCUAAGUAGUAUUUUCAUUGUUGUUAGAUCUCUACUCUUAUGCGUAAGUUGAAAUUGAUCAUAACUCGAAUAUAAAUCUUCCAUUGAAUAAAUUGUCCUUCCUGCAAACACUUCUGCAAACUCGUCUAUUAGAGAUCAUAUACCUAUAUUUUUUUUAGUUACUGCAUUCAUUGGCUACAUAUCUUGAAUAAAAUAUAACGAUCCAUUUUUCUUAGGCACCGUAAACCAACGAUUAGAAUAUGGAGCAAAAGAAGGCUCCAAAACUUUCAUUUGCAUCUUUUCUUUCGAUAAUUCCACCAAUUUAGGUAGAUGUGUCCUCAGCACGAGAAUUGGCCUUAAGUUCUAAGGCACAUGAGGUAUUGUAAAGAUAACUAUAGGAGCAACAAUAUUAGGAUCUACACAUCCUAUUUUACAAGAUCCAAAGGCAAAUGAUUUACCUCGUUUCACAAGUAUUUUUUUAAAAUAUUCAAUUUCUAUUGGAAAUAAGGAACCAUCACAUCCAAUCUUUAAUUCUUCAAAAGUCUCCUACAUAAACUAAUGUCCAAUCUUCUUUGAAUCUCUGAAACUCUCUUCUUUUGAUGUUUCUUUUAUUUGUUCCUUAGAAUCUUCUGAUAAAGGUCUGGCAAUAGGUUUUAUUUUUUUAUCUACCAUUUUAUAUUUUGUCUCUACAAUAACUUCUGGUGCUUGAAACAAUUCAAGUAUAGAAUAAACCUCCCUCGAAUGAAUUUCCACAAUCUUAUCAUUAUUUCCUAAUGCAAUAGAUGUAAUUAAUUCCAAAGAAUCCUCCAAUCUAUUUUUUUCAUAAACACCUAAAAUCUUCUCAUCAUCUUUUAAUGUCCCUAAUUUGCAUAACUCCUUUUCAAUACUAUAUAAUCUUUUCUUCUCUUUUCUUUUAAAAUCAUCAACUUUCUUAUACAUAAUAUUUCUAUUCUCAAAAAUACCAAUAAAACUGGCAUUAAAGGUACCUUCAUCUCGCGAGAGUACCUCCUCUUUUGUACCUCCAUAAUCCCACUUUAUAGUGGUACUUCCCUAAAAUCCUUAAAUCUUUCAACAAUCCUUGGUAAUGGUUUCUCCCUCAACCUAUCUCAAUUUCGUUCAUGAUUAGGAGGUACUAUCAAAAAAUUUACAGCUUUUCUUCCAUCUUUACUAUGUAUCCUUGCAUAAGCAAAACCAUCAUCAAGUACUUUUGUUUUCAUCCGUAUUUUCGUAAUAUAAGGUUGUCCUAAAAUCAAUGGAUAAGAUGUUGUAUCUUGAACAAAGAAAUGUUAUUCUAUCGCAACAUCUCCAAUCUAAAUUUUGACAUCUAGACAAGCUCCAUAUAAUUCACCUCGUGUGUUAUUAGCUAUUUGUAUUACCCAUCCAUGUUCCAUAUCAAUUGGCCAUUUUUGCUUCUUAUAAAGAGCUUUAGACAUAAGAUUUAUUUUAGAACCAUGGUCAACUAAAGCAACUAUUAGUUCUUCUAUAUCUCUUACUUUCACCAAUAUUUGAGUAGUUACCUUUGCCUAAUGUUUUCGAAUAUAAUGGCUUGAAGCUUCUAUUUCCUUAUUACUAUAAUCUUCAAAACGUACUUGUUGAUUAUAUCCAUACUUUUCAUUUGUUGAUUGCUUAUAACCAUUAUCAACCUCUUCUUCAUCUUUAUAUAAUCUUGCAUCAAUAGCAUGACUCAUUCCAACUUUGCCUAUCAAUUGCCUCUUUUGCUUAAUGCUGUCAAUGAUAACAUCAUGAAACUCCUUCUUUGCAAUUUCCAAAAUUUCUUUCAAUGUGAAUUCCACCUUAGCAUUUAAUAUACGUUCUUCCAGCACGCCUUUUAAAUUUGUUGCCACUUCAAUAUCAAAAAGUAGCUUAUAAGCAAUUGCUUUACUCUUAUCUUUUGUCUCCUUUGUUUUUUCUUCCAAUGAUGCUCAAGUAUCCUUUAUAGGUAAUUCUUGUGAAACCGCCUCAUGAGCCUCGUUUCCUCAAGUCUGCCUCUUAGAAGAAUUUCCUUCUCUUGUAUCAUCAAAAUUUCUUCGUUUCUUUUCUUCUAUCAAAGCUUCAUGUUGGCUCUUAGCAAUAUAUGCAUGAAUUGAAAGAGACUCAACAAGAUCUUUCCAACCUGUUGCACCUCAUAUUGUAGCUGCAGUCGUCAAUAAUGCUUCCCGAGGCAUUUUUCCCUUUUACAUUGUAGAAAUGGCAGAAGCCCAAAAUUCACUAGUUCCCAUACUUCCACCAAAGUCAUCAUCUACUCUAGCGCCAUAACUUGCACUCUCUUGUGUUGCUAUUCCAUGUUCUUUUAAAUAAUCUUGAAUCAAUGCUCUCAUACCUCCUUUGUGAAAAUUGGUAUGAAAGAGAUCCUCUGUAUCCUUUAAUGCUAUCUUUCCAUCUUUCUAGUAAAUAACUCCUUGCUCCACCAUAUUAUUCAAUUCAUUGCAAUCCUUUCUAGUAUAUGAAACAUUGUCAUGUUAUAACAUGACUAUAUGGUGAAAGAUGAUAAUAUGGAUCUUAUUAUAGAAGAGCCAAGUUAAAAGAAAAAAUAGAAAAAUAUGGAUAAAAGAUAGGAAGGUACUAAAACUUUUAGUAGUAAUGCUGUCUUUUUAGAAAAAAUAACUUUUACUUACUUUGUAGGCCAAAAAUAAGGCGAAAUAAGAUAGAUUGGAAAAACAAAUAAUAUAGACAUCUUUAGGACGAAGUUAAGAAUAAAUUCUAGUAAAAAAUACUUAAAAAAACUAGAUGUUGAUAUCCAAAGAGGGCCAGUUAUGAACCAGGGUUGAAAUCAAUACCUAAGGCACAUAACUGAGUUUUGACAAUGACUUUGGGACUCUUUGGCAGAUCGAAGAGUGGAAUUGAAUAGCAGAUUGAAUAAGGUUUCUAUAGAUGUUGAUUUUAGAUGAUUUGGAGUUGUUAUGACUUUGUAAGAGCUUUGCAAAGUCAAGAUUUUUUUUAGAUGACUUGGGUUUUAUGAAAUAUAAUAGGGUUUAUAUUUUGGGUGAUUUCGAGAGUUUUGUAGCAGAUAUAUGAGUGAAAUUUUGUGGGUUUAUGGUUACAAUUGUUUUUAAUAUGUGUUGUGAAUUUGAGCUCGAUCUAAUGGUUGAAUUGAAUGAUAUUGAGGUUUAAGUGGGUCAAGGUAUCAGAAAGUAGAAUUUUAGGUCCAAUGAGGGUUUUUAAUAUUUCUUACAAUCUAUUGGUUGGAUUAGAGUGAAACUUAUGUAAGAGGAUAGAAGACUUAUUUUCCUAUGUGCAUGAGAAUUCUGAGAACAAUCAAAUGGUGAAAAGAAGAGAAAUUGGCUCUGGAAGAUUAGCAUCAAGAUUGGAGAAGGUGGCUAGCUAAUACUCGAGUACAUUUUUGAAGUUAACAACAAUUUGGUUACUUUGAUCUUUUUCAAUUUUUUUUUUUUUUUUUUUUUUUUUAACUUAAUUUUUAAGAAGUGUGCAAAAUUUGAAUUAAGAUCAACGGUUUAUUCAUUAAUUAUUGAGGUUUAAAUCUGUUGUAGGAAUUACUAGUGUUUGGUUUAGGGUUUGGGAUUUGGAUUAGAAUUUGAUUUAGGGUUUGGGAUUUGGAUUAGGAUUUGAUUUAAGAUUUAGAGUUUGGUUAGGAUUUGAUUUAGGAUUUAGGAUUUGAUUAAGAUUUAAUUUAGGAUUUAGGAUUUGGUUAGGAUUUGGUAUAGGGUUUAGGAUUUGGUUAGGAUUUUAUUUAGGGUUUGGAUUAAGGUUUAGUUUAGGAUUUAGGAUUUGGAUUAGGAUUUGGUUAGGGUUUGAUAUAGGAUUUAGGAUUUGGUUUAGGAUUUGGUUGGAAUUUGGUUAGGGUUUGGUUUAGGAUUUAGUUUGGGUUUAGUUUAAGGUUUGUUUAGGAUUUGAUUUAGGAUUUGGUUUAGAGUUUGGUUAGGAUUUUAUUUAAAAUUUGGAUUACGGUUUGGUUUGGGAUUUAAGAUUUGGAUUAGAUUUUUAGUUAGGAUUUGAUUUAGGAUUUAGGAUUUGGUUUAGGAUAUAGUUAGGGUUUGAUUUAGGAUUUUGUUGGGGUUUAGUUUAAGGUUUGUUUAGGAUUUGAUUUAAGAUUUAGGAUUUUAUUAGGAUUUAAGAUUUAAUUAGGUUUGGCCUAAAGUUUGAAUGAAGUUCAAUAGGAUUUUAACUAGAAUUAAAUUAAGAUUGAAUUGAGAUGUAUUUGAGUGAUAUUUGUGAUCCUUCUAAUAUUUCUUUAAGAAUUUUUAUUCUUUGUUUGAAAUUUCUUGAGAUUUUUAUGAAUUUGAUUGAAGCUUGCUUAGUAUUAUUAUGAUCUAAUUAGAGUUUAAUUAGUAUUCUAUUAGAAUAAAGAUUUUGUUGUUACAAU